GACGAACGCUGGCGGCGUGCUUAACACAUGCAAGUCGAACGAAGAGCGAUGGAAGCUUGCUUCUAUCAAUCUUAGUGGCGAACGGGUGAGUAACGCGUAAUCAACCUGCCCUUCAGAGGGGGACAACAGUUGGAAACGACUGCUAAUACCGCAUACGAUCUAAUCUCGGCAUCGAGGAAAGAUGAAAGGUGGCCUCUAUUUAUAAGCUAUCACUGAAGGAGGGGAUUGCGUCUGAUUAGCUAGUUGGAGGGGUAACGGCCCACCAAGGCGAUGAUCAGUAGCCGGUCUGAGAGGAUGAACGGCCACAUUGGGACUGAGACACGGCCCAGACUCCUACGGGAGGCAGCAGUGGGGAAUCUUCCGCAAUGGACGAAAGUCUGACGGAGCAACGCCGCGUGAGUGAUGACGGCCUUCGGGUUGUAAAGCUCUGUUAAUCGGGACGAAAGGCCUUCUUGCGAACAGUUAGAAGGAUUGACGGUACCGGAAGAGAAAGCCACGGCUAACUACGUG
rnacentral:rRNA from 1 species